UACAGAGGGUGCAAGCGUUAAUCGGAAUUACUUGGCGUAAAGCGUGCGCAGGCGGUUGCGUAAGUCCGAUGUGAAAUCCCCGGGCUUAACCUGGGAAUGGCAUUUGGGACUGCAAGGCUUGAGUGCGAGAGAGGAGACUGGAAUUCCUGGUGUAGCAGUGAAAUGCGUAGAUAUCAGGAGGAAUACCGAUGGCGAAGGCAGGUAUCUGGGCUGACACUGACGCUCAUGCACGAAAGCGUGGGGAGCAAACAGG
rnacentral:rRNA from 1 species